AAACCAACAGGGAUUGCCUUAGUAGCGGCGAGUGAAGCGGCAAAAGCUCAAAUUUGAAAUCUGGCACUUUCAGUGUCCGAGUUGUAAUUUGAAGAAGGUAUCUUUGGGUCUGGCUCUUGUCUAUGUUUCUUGGAACAGAACGUCACAGAGGGUGAGAAUCCCGUGCGAUGAGAUGUCCCAGACCUAUGUAAAGUUCCUUCGAAGAGUCGAGUUGUUUGGGAAUGCAGCUCUAAGUGGGUGGUAAAUUCCAUCUAAAGCUAAAUAUUGGCGAGAGACCGAUAGCGAACAAGUACAGUGAUGGAAAGAUGAAAAGAACUUUGAAAAGAGAGUGAAAAAGUACGUGAAAUUGUUGAAAGGGAAGGGCUUGAGAUCAGACUUGGUAUUUUGUAUGUUACUCUCUCGGGGGUGGCCUCUACAGUUUACCGGGCCAGCAUCAGUUUGAGCGGUAGGAUAAGUGCAAAGAAAUGUGGCACUGCUUCGGUAGUGUGUUAUAGUCUUUGUCGAUACUGCCAGCUUAGACUGAGGACUGCGGCUUCGGCCUAGGAUGUUGGCAUAAUGAUCUUAAGUCGCCC
rnacentral:rRNA from 1 species